CCCUUCGGGGCCGGUGCACAGGUGGUGCAUGGCUGUCGUCAGCUCGUGUCGUGAGAAAAAAAAGUUAGGGGGGGGGAACGAGCGCAACCCCUGUCCCUAGUUGCCAGCGGAUAAUGCCGGGGACUCUAGGGAGACUGCCGGUGACAAACCGGAGGAAGGUGGGGAUGACGUCAAGUCAUCAUGCCCCUUAUGUCCUGGGCUACACACGUGCUACAUUGGCCGGUACAGAGGGCUGCAAACCCGUGAGGGGGAGCGAAUCCCAAAAAGCCGGUCCCGGUUCGGAUUGGAGGCUGAAACUCGCCUCCAUGAAGGCGGAGUUGCUAGUAAUCGCGGAUCAGCAACGCCGCGGUGAAUACGUUCUCGGGCCUUGUACACACCGCCCGUCACACCACGAAAGCCGGCAACACCCGAAGCCGGUGUCCUAACCCGCAAGGGAGGGAGCCGUCGAAGGUGGGGUUGGUGAUUGGGGUGAAGUCGUAACAAGGUAGCCGUAGCGGAAGCUGCGGCUGGAUCACCUCCUUAAUCGGAUCCCGGGCCCGUCGACUGUA
rnacentral:rRNA from 1 species